rnacentral:rRNA from 1 species
AUUCCAGCUCCAAUAGCGUAUAUUAAAGUUGUUGCAGUUAAAAAGCUCGUAGUUGAACCUUGGGUCUGGCUGGCCGGUCCGCCUCACCGCGAGUACUGGUCCGGCUGGACCUUUCCUUCUGGGGAACCUCAUGGCCUUCACUGGCUGUGGGGGGAACCAGGACUUUUACUGUGAAAAAAUUAGAGUGUUUAAAGCAGGCCUUUGCUCGAA